rnacentral:rRNA from 1 species
CCUGCUCUUUAACGUGACUGCGUACCUUUUGUAUAAUGGGUCAGCGACUUAUAUUCUGUAGCAAGGUUAACCGUAUAGGGGAGCCGGAGGGAAACCGAGUCUUAACCGGGCGUUAAGUUGCAGGGUAUAGACCCGAAACCCGGUGAUCUAGCCAUGGGCAGGUUGAAGGUUGGGUAACACUAACUGGAGGACCGAACCGACUAAUGUUGAAAAA